AUACUGGUUAAUGAUUACAAUGCAUUGUAAAACCUUCAAAAGGAAAGGAGAAUGUUUUGUGGAGUGUGUGUGUGGCAGUUUUUAAAACCAGUACUUUUUAA
rnacentral:miRNA from 1 species